UACCAGCACCCCGAGUGGUCGGGACGUUUAUUGGGCCUAAAGCAUCCGUAGCCGGUUCUACAAGUCUUCCGUUAAAUCCAGCUGCUUAACAGAUGGGCUGCGGAAGAUGACUAUGGAGCUAGGAGGCGGGAGAGGCAAGCGGUACUCGAUGGGUAGGGGUAAAAUCCGUUGAUCCAUUGAAGACCACCAGUGGCGAAGGCGGCUUGCCAGAACGCGCUCGACGGUGAGGGAUGAAAGCUGGGGGAGCAAACCGG
rnacentral:rRNA from 1 species